UCAGCUAGGCGCGGUGGCUCAUACCUGUAAUCCCAGCACUUUGGGAGGCCGAGGUGGAUGGAUCACCUGAGGCCCUCAAUAUGCACUCCCACGGUCCUGGGAUUUCUAUGUAAACUGGAAAACUCACGUUCUCUUGGCAGACACCGUGAGGCUGGGAGUUCCACAUGUGCUAUAAUCCAGCCACUGAAGGAUGAGAUUCUGGGUUUGAUUUUCAGUAGUCUCAGACCCGCAGCUAAAGGAGGUAAGAGUCUCUCUUGGGACAGUCAUAACUUUCAGAUUAUUCAUGUGACACUUCAGCUGGGAAUCUGAAUCCUGAGCUCACUCCCAUGAUACUUUUUCUGAGACAGAGUCUCACUCUGUAGCCCAGGCUGGAAUGCAGUGGGGCAAUCCCAGCUCACUGCAACCUCUGCCUCCCAGGUGCAAGUAAUUCUCCUGCCUCAGCCUCCCGAGUAGCUGGGAUUACAGGUGCCUGCCACCACACUUGGCUAAUUUCUGUAUUUUUAGAAGAGUUGGGGUUUUGCCAUGUUGGCCAGGGUGGUCUUGAACUCCUGACCUCAGGUGAUCUGCCCGCCUCAGGCCUCCCAAAGUGCUGGGAUUACAGGCGUGAGCCACCACACACGGC